rfam:Oryzias latipes DNA, scaffold7349, strain: Hd-rR.
GUUUCUGUAGUGUAGUGGUUAUCACAUCCGGCUAACACGCGAAAGGUCCCCAGCUCAAAACUGGGCAGAAACA